GGGGUCGUACAGGGUUCGACGGGGAUUUUGAAGCAGUAGGAGCGAGCAGCGGCGGGCACCGCUUAAAUCAGCCUAAAUUAAAAAUAAACGCUAACAAAAAUUUAGCAUACGCUGCCUAAUUAAGGCGGCCGUUCUUACCCGAUUUACCGCGGUUGGGAUAAGAGCGUCAUCAUUGCGGUGAACGUGAGGCAUCAAAGCUUUGAGAUGCCCAUGAACAAUGAAGCUACCAAAGCACAGAGUUUGUUUGUGAACUCUUUGCCGAGGGAAUUCUGAUCACAAACUGCGCUCGGAGAGCCCGCUGUGAAUGGAUUUUCGGACAGGAGUUCAAUUCUCCUCGACUCCAUAA
rnacentral:tmRNA from 1 species